rnacentral:rRNA from 1 species
UACGUAGGGUGCGAGCGUUUAAUCGGAAUUACUGGGCGUAAAGAGUGCGUAGGCGGUUCUUUGAAGUCCGCUGUGAAAGCCCCCGGGCUUAACCUGGGAAUGGCAGUUGGAAACUGGAGGACUUGAAUUGAGCAGAGGGGGGGUGGAAUGCCGCGUGUAGCAGUGAAAUGCGUAGAGAUGCGGCGGAACACCGAUGGCGAAGGCAGCCCCCUGGGCUUAAAUUGACGCUGAGGCACGAAAGCGUGGGGGAGCAAACAGG